AUGGACAUUUUAAUUGCAGGCAAGGCUGAACUGACCGUUUUGGCAGCGAUCAAAGAUGGGAAAAGUUUGGUUGACCAAACCCAAGUUGGAGAGUCAGCCAGUCCAACCAUGACUAUGAUGGCAGACGGCGCGCAUCAAGAAGAUGAGCGUUCUGAGAUGUUCAUCUCAACUGAAUGUGGCCUUGGAUCUGUCUCUGUGGGAGGUGAUUCCAGGCAUCCAUUAUCCACUUUAUUGGCCCCUGAUAGGAAGAAGCAGAAGGGUAGGCCGACAACGGCGAGGGACAAGCCUGGAUAUGAGAUCAAAUACGCGCGAUCAAGAUUUUGCACUGUUUGUAGAGAGAAAGGGCACAAGAGCACGACGUGCCCCCGCAGGGGGGACCUUCCUAAGAAACCCCGCAAAAUCCCUACAUGUGGCAAUUGUGGUGUGGCUGGGCACAAGAAAACAAGUUGUUUCAACCCAGUGUUGCCGUUUGUGAAGAGGCCUCGCGACGGACCAGUGGAAUGA
rnacentral:rRNA from 1 species